rnacentral:tRNA from 2 species
UGCUCUAUAGCUUAAUGGAUAAAGCAACAGAUUUCUAAUCUGUGUAUCUGAGUUCGAUUCUCAGUAGAGUAA